AAAAGUAUUUAAACCCAAACACAAUUCACUGAGUUGUCAGUCAUCUCUUGAGACAUCAGAAACUUUGCUGAGAAUAGUUCAGAAAAUAAUUCCUAACAAAACAAACAUGAAAGCUGUGAUUUUCGCUCUUGUUGUUAUGUUGGCAGCUGUUCAGGGCCAAUAUUGGAAUCCAUAUGGACAACCAGCUAUUGGAGGCUAUGCUCCUCCACCAAUGGUGUACCCACAUCCAAUGCAACCCAUGAUGCCUGCCUCCAGCAAUGAUAAUUCCAAUUCCAACGCUAAUACUAAUGUUAAUGCAGCAUCUGGACGUUGGUUUUAAACCUCAUAAUGUUAUUCAAUAAAUGGUGGUGAUGUUAAUGAUGAUGGUUAUAUAAUUGGGUUAUUGUGAUUGAAUAAAAAUAAAAUUAAACAAGUUAACAUAUA